rnacentral:rRNA from 1 species
UACAGAGGUCUCAACCGUUGUUCGGAUUUAUUGGGCGUAAAGGGUGCGUAGGUGGCGCGCUAAGUCAGGUGUGAAAUUUCGGAGCUUAACUCCGAAACUGCAUUUGAUACUGGCGUGCUUGAGGACUGGAGAGGAGACUGGAAUUCAUGGUGUAGCAGUGAAAUGCGUAGAGAUCAUGAGGAAGACCAGUGGCGAAGGCGGGUCUCUGGACAGUUCCUGACACUGAGGCACGAAGGCCAGGGGAGCAAACGGG